CCCCACUGCUAUCGGGGUGGGACUUAGGCAUGUUAGUUUGUGUCUUCAAGCUAUGGUGAGGACACGGCGGACGGCUCAGUAACACGUAGCUAACCUGCCCUCGGGACGGAGAUAACCCCGGGAAACUGGGGCUAAUACCCGAUAGGUGAGAAGGCCUGGAAUGGUUUCUCGCCUAAAGGAUGUGGAGCCAUGCUUCCAAUAUCGCCCGAGGAUGGGGCUGCGGCCGAUCAGGUAGUUGGUGAGGUAACGGCUCACCAAGCCUUUAACCGGUACGGGCCGUGAGAGCGGGAGCCCGGAGAUGGGCACUGAGACAAGGACCUAGGCCCUACGGGGCGCAGCAGUCGCGAAAACUCCGCAAUGCGCGCAAGCGCGACGGGGCUACCCCGAGUGCCGUCCGCUGAGGAUGGCUUUUCUCUGGUGUAAUGAGCCGGAGGAAUAAGGGGAGGGCAAGACUGGUGUCAGCCGCCGCGGUAAUACCAGCUCCCCGAGUGGUGGGGAUGUUUAUUUGGCCUAAAGCGUCCGUAGCCUGCUCAGUAAGUCCUCCGUUAAAUCCGACGAUCUAAUCGUUGGGCUGCGGGGGAUACUGCAUGGCUAGGGGGCGGGAGAAGUCGACGGUACUCUUGAGGUAGGGGUGAAA
rnacentral:rRNA from 1 species